rfam:Ailuropoda melanoleuca scaffold2442_4, whole genome shotgun sequence.
ACCUGGCUGGCUUGGUCAGUGGAGUGUGAGACUCUUGAUUUCGGGGUUGUGGGUUCGAGUCCCACAUUGGGUG